rnacentral:rRNA from 1 species
UGAACGCUGGCGGCGUGCCUAAUACAUGCAAGUCGAGCGAACAGACGAGGAGCUUGCUCCUCUGACGUUAGCGGCGGACGGGUGAGUAACACGUGGAUAACCUACCUAUAAGACUGGGAUAACUUCGGGAAACCGGAGCUAAUACCGGAUAAUAUAUUGAACCGCAUGGUUCACUAGUGAAAGACGGUUUUGCUGUCACUUAUAGAUGGAUCCGCGCCGCAUUAGCUAGUUGGUAAGGUAACGGCUUACCAAGGCGACGAUGCGUAGCCGACCUGAGAGGGUGAUCGGCCACACUGGAACUGAGACACGGUCCAGACUCCUACGGGAGGCAGCAGUAGGGAAUCUUCCGCAAAGGGCGAAAGCCUGACGGAGCAACGCCGCGUGAGUGAUGAAGGUCUUCGGAUCGUAAAACUCUGUUAUUAGGGAAGAACAAAUGUGUAAGUAACUAUGCACGUCUUGACGGUACCUAAUCAGAAAGCCACGGCUAACUACGUG